rnacentral:rRNA from 1 species
UACGUAGGGUGCAAGCGUUACUCGGAAUUACUGGGCGUAAAGCGUGCGCAGGCGGUUGUGCAAGACCGAUGUGAAAGCCCCGGGCUUAACCUGGGAAUGGCAUUGGUGACUGCACAGCUAGAGUGUGUCAGAGGGGGGUAGAAUUCCACGUGUAGCAGUGAAAUGCGUAGAGAUGUGGAGGAAUACCGAUGGCGAAGGCAGCCCCCUGGGAUAACACUGACGCUCAUGCACGAAAGCGUGGGGAGCAAACAGG